AUUGAACGCUGGCGGCAUGCCUUACACAUGCAAGUCGAACGGCAGCACGGGUGCUUGCGCCUGGUGGCGAGUGGCGAACGGGUGAGUAAUACAUCGGAACGUACCUUAUCGUGGGGGAUAACGCAGCGAAAGCUGUGCUAAUACCGCAUACGCCCUGAGGGGGAAAGCGGGGGAUCGAAAGACCUCGCGCGAUUAGAGCGGCCGAUGCCUGAUUAGCUUGUUGGUGGGGUAAAAGCCCACCAAGGCGACGAUCAGCAGCUGGUCUGAGAGGACGAUCAGCCACACUGGGACUGAGACACGGCCCAGACUCCUACGGGAGGCAGCAGUGGGGAAUUUUGGACAAUGGGGGCAACCCUGAUCCAGCAAUGCCGCGUGAGUGAGGAAGGCCUUCGGGUUGUAAAGCUCUUUUGUCAGGGAAGAAACACCGGCUCUAACACAGUCCGGGAAUGACGGUACCUGAAGAAUAAGCACCGGCUAACUACGUGCCAGCCGCCGCGGUAA
rnacentral:rRNA from 1 species